rnacentral:lncRNA from 1 species
GGUGAACGGGCUCUAAACUUUGGCUAUCUUCUCCCAGUUAUGGCUACAUGGAGAGCAGAGAAGGGCACAAAGAUAUGAAAUGAGGAUGACCACAGUGAAGUCUAUGCCCAUGUAUCCCAGAUUUGCUUCUUCUUGGAACCUUCCUCUUGCUUCUCCUCUUCCUCCUUCCAUCCUCCUCUUCCCUCCCCAGCACUGUGUGGUACAGCCGGAAGGAGCCGAGGGCCAGUUGAUAUUACAAAUAAAUGGUCCUCACAAGGUUCCAAGAUGCAUGCUUGGCACCUGUCUGCAUUUUGGGAGGAGUGACGGGCGAGCUCCAGAGGGAGAAUGAUCCGCUGAAGAACGGGCAUCAACGAGCCAGGAAGAUUUUCUCCCAUUCUGGGGAGGCAGCCGUCAUGAAUAUCUGCCAAUACUCACCUUUCUGGUCCUCCACCUUCUUCCCCACAUCCUUCACUCCAAGUGAAAAUCUUCUCUCAAUCUUCUAAGAACAAAUGUUUCCUAGAGAAAUGGGGGCAUUUAUGGUGUGACUUUGGCUGGAGUCUUUGAUUUGAAAUGCACUCUAAUUGGGCUGAUACUCUCAUAAAUGUUAUUUUAUUAAGUUAGGCCGCAAUAAAUCUGUCAUCUCCAUAA